UGGAAGACUAGUGAUUUUGUUGUUCUGGUUUAGAAAGCUGACAACAAAUCACAGCCUACCAUC
rnacentral:pre_miRNA from 1 species